rnacentral:rRNA from 1 species
GACGAACGCUGGCGGCGUGCCUAAUACAUGCAAGUUGAGCGAUGAAGAUUGGUGCUUGCACCAAUUUGAAGAGCAGCGAACGGGUGAGUAACGCGUGGGGAAUCUGCCUUUGAGCGGGGGACAACAUUUGGAAACGAAUGCUAAUACCGCAUAACAACUUUAAACAUAAGUUUUAAGUUUGAAAGAUGCAAUUGCAUCACUCAAAGAUGAUCCCGCGUUGUAUUAGCUAGUUGGUGAGGUAAAGGCUCACCAAGGCGAUGAUACAUAGCCGACCUGAGAGGGUGAUCGGCCACAUUGGGACUGAGACACGGCCCAAACUCCUACGGGAGGCAGCAGUAGGGAAUCUUCGGCAAUGGACGAAAGUCUGACCGAGCAACGCCGCGUGAGUGAAGAAGGGCUUCGGAUCGUAAAACUCUGUUGGUAGAGAAGAACGUUGGUGAGAGUGGAAAGCUCAUCAAGUGACGGUAACUACCCAGAAAGGGACGGCUAACUACGUG